GAACAGGUUUUUGUGUGACCAUAAAUUUUCAUUUUCUUGGGAUAAAGGUCCAGGAGUAUGCAGGUCAUAAAACCCUCAUGUGAGAGGUGCCUCCCUUAUACCUGGAGGGAAGGAGCAUCGCUAUCUCUGAAGAUAAAAGGCUGCUAAGGAGAAUCCUAACAAACAGGCCUUGCACUGAUGCACCAGCACUCUGCACCUGCCCGCCCAGCACUGAUGCACCAGCACUCUGCACCUGCCUGCCCAGCACUGAGGCACCAGCACCCUGCACCUGCCCGCCCAGCACUCUGCACCUGCCCAUCCAGCACUGAUGCACCAGCACUCUGCACCUGCCCGCCCAGCACUGAUGCACCAGCACUCUGCACCUGCCUGCCCAGCACUGAUGCACCAGCACUCUGCACCUGCCCUCCCAG